UACGUAGGGUGCAGGCGUUAAUCGGAAUUACUGGGCGUAAAGCGUGCGUAGGUGGUUCGUUAAGUCUGAUGUGAAAGCCCUGGGCUCAACCUGGGAAUGGCAUUGGAUACUGGCGGGCUAGAGGGCGGUAGAGGGCAGUGGAAUUCCCGGGGUAGCAGUGAAAUGCGUAGAGAUCGGGAGGAACAUCUGUGGCGAAGGCGACUGCCUGGACCAGCACUGACACUGAGGCACGAAAGCGUGGGGAGCAAACAGG
rnacentral:rRNA from 1 species